rnacentral:rRNA from 1 species
AGUGAACGCUGGCGGUAGGCCUAACACAUGCAAGUCGAACGGCAGCACAGUAAGAGCUUGCUCUUACGGGUGGCGAGUGGCGGACGGGUGAGGAAUACAUCGGAAUCUACUUUUUCGUGGGGGAUAACGUAGGGAAACUUACGCUAAUACCGCAUACGACCUACGGGUGAAAGCAGGGGAUCUUCGGACCUUGCGCGAUUGAAUGAGCCGAUGUCGGAUUAGCUAGUUGGCGGGGUAAAGGCCCACCAAGGCGACGAUCCGUAGCUGGUCUGAGAGGAUGAUCAGCCACACUGGAACUGAGACACGGUCCAGACUCCUACGGGAGGCAGCAGUGGGGAAUAGUGGACAAUGGGCGCAAGCCUGAUCCAGCCAGACCGCGUGGGUGAAGAAGGCCUUCGGGUUGUAAAGCCCUUUUGUUGGGAAAGAAAAGCAGCAGGUUAAUACCCCGCUGUUCUGACGGUACCCAAAGAAUAAGCACCGGCUAACUUCGUG